CAGAAGAGAGUUGGUGGUGGUGUCAGUGCCCGCGAUGAAGAGAUCAGCAAUGAUGUAGAAGAGGUAGUCCUCGUUGAAGCUUCCGUCCUCCACGCCCGCGGCUCUCUGGCUCGCCAUCUCCGCCAGGAAGGCGGUGAUGUCACGCUCCACCCGCCGGAGCUCCCCGAAGACGCCGAAGGGCAAGUGGUAGAGUGGUGGGAAGAUGUUGAUGAGGACGGCGGGGCUGUUGACGCACAGCUCCAGGCCGCGCAUCAUCAGGCCAAGCAGGGUCCCGAACUGGCGGUCGUCUUGGGGGAAGCGUUCGCCCAGGGCUAAAGAGCAGAUGACGUUGGAGACGGCGUUGCUGACCAGCGGUGUCAAGUCAAUGCCGCCUUUGCCAGCUUCCUGCUGUAGUCGUAGAAGCUCACGUUUGACCGCCGCCAGGCCUUGGAGGAUACACGGCUCCAAGCUAAGCUUCCCCACACCGAAGGUUCGAAGAGCGGCGUGGCAGAACUUGCGGUGCUUUCUCCACACCGGUCCAUAAGGCGCAAAGACGAUUCCUUGGGGGGGGAAAACUGAUGCAAGGAUGUCAGGCCUGUCAGAGAACACUUCAGGAUGGUUGAGCAAAGCGUCCUUGAUGACGUCAUAACCGUUUAGCACCACUAUUAGCUGCGUGCCCACAAAUAGGCUGAACACGUCGCCGUAGACCGACGCUUGCUUUGUCAGCGCCUCCACGGGUGUCGCAGUCGGCUUCGACGCCUUCCCGAGUCUCUUCCAGAUGAACGAAGGUAUGAGAAAAACGCCAAAAUUGCCCACGAUCGGCAGCGGCUUCGGACCCGGAGGAAUAUUAACCAGGCGACGGCGGCGUUUCAGGUAGUAGUGAAGGGACAAAUAAACAACAAAAAAGACGAGCAGAGUUGCGAAGUUUACUCCCGACAGCAACGAGAUGCUCCAAAGCCGGAGCAUAGUGUCAACGUUAAGGCAUAAACACUUUCAAUGAAGCCAUGUUUGUUUUCUGAAUGUAAACACAGACCGGAGACAUUUUUCCGGUAUUGCAGUGGAGCGGCUCUCCCAUUGGUGGACAGAAAAAUAGGCUUCUCUGAUAGGGUAAGGACUAAAAGGGUUUCUCGCGUGUUAUAACUCCCGGAAUUAUGACUUGCAGGACUGAGGUAUUUUUGAUUCUGAAUUUAAAAUUUCAAUAUCAAUAAGUAUUUAAAAAAAAAUUACGAUAUAUUCAUUGUAAAAAAA